rnacentral:rRNA from 1 species
GGACAGUUGGGGGCAUUUGUAUCGGAUCGUUAGGGGUGAAAUCCUUGGAUCGGUCCGAGACAAACUAAUGCGAAAGCAUUUGCCAAGGAUGUUUUCAUUAAUCAAGAACGAAAGUUAGGGGAUCGAAGACGAUUAGAUACCGUCGUAGUCUUAACCAUAAACUAUGCCGACUGAGGAUCAGACCAUGUUAUCUAUAUGACUGGUUUGGCACUCUACGAGAAAUCAAAGUUUUUAGGUUCCGGGGGGAGUAUGGUCGCAAGGCUGAAACUUAAAGGAAUUGACGGAAGGGCACCACCAGGAGUGGAGCCUGCGGCUUAAUUUGACUCAACACGGGGAAACUCACCAGGUCCAGACAUAGUGAGGAUUGACAGAUUGAGAGCUCUUUCUUGAUCUUUUGGAUGGUGGUGCAUGGCCGUUCUUAGUUGGUGGAGUGAUUUGUCUGCUUAAUUGCGAUAACGAACGAGACCUCGGCCCUUAAAUAGCCCGGUCCGCAUUUGCGGGCCGCUGGCUUCUUAGGGGGACUAUCGGCUCAAGCCGAUGGAAGUGCGCGGCAAUAACAGGUCUGUGAUGCCCUUAGAUGUUCUGGGCCGCACGCGCGCUACACUGACAGGGCCAGCGAGUACAUCACCUUGGCCGAGAGGCCUGGGUAAUCUUGUUAAACCCUGUCGUGCUGGGGAUAGAGCAUUGCAAUUACUGCUCUUCAACGAGGAAUGCCUAGUAGGCACGAGUCAUCAGCUCGUGCCGAUUACGUCCCUGCCCUUUGUACACACCGCCCGUCGCUACUAC